rnacentral:rRNA from 1 species
CCUACGGGUGGCAGCAGUGAGGAAUAUUGGUCAAUGGGCGCAAGCCUGAACCAGCUACGCCGCGUGAGGGAAGACGGCCUUCGGGUUGUAAACCACUUUUCUCGAGGAAGAAAAGUCCAUUUAUAGAACCGGUAGCUGAGGACAUCUACCUGCCAGUAGCCGCGGGAAUACGUCGGGCGCGAGGGUGCGACGGAUUUACUGGGUGUAAAGGGUACGUAGGCGGCUUUGCAAGUUAGCAGUGAAAUCCCUGGGCUUAACCCAGGAACGGCUUUUGAAACUGGACCGCUUGAGUGCGGUAGAGGUAGGCGGAAUUCCAGGUGUAGCGGUGAAAUGCGUAGAUAUCUGGAAGAACACCGAUGGCGAAGGCAGCCUGCUGGGACGUAACUGACGCUGAGGCACGAAAGCGUGGGUAGCAAACAGGAUUAGAUACCCGGGUAGUC